AUGAUAUUAAUUCUCCGAGCUUAUGACUCCUAAUAGAUCAAUGGUCUGAUGGAGUGCAAGCCUGUAGGGUAUUGUUGGAAACAAUAAUGCCUCCCAUAGCGGAAAGGAGUGCGCAAAUCUAAUGC
rnacentral:ncRNA from 21 species